AAUAAAAAAUAUUUUACCGUCGGUAUUCGACGAGAACGAUUUCAAGUUUUUCACAGUACAUUUUGUCCCUUUUUUCAACAAUUAAACUAUUCUGAAAGUAAAUGUGUUUCUAAACGUAUGUUUUUUAGUAGUGUGUGCAGUGAAUAAUAUUAAGGGUUAUAUCCUCCCCCUCAUUUUGACAGCUUAGGGUAAGAUGACGAUUCCUAGGAAAAGAUGACACUUCCUAGUGCGAUAAAAAAUAUCAUUGUCUGAGAAUUGUCGAAAUUUCCGUAGUUUAUUAGAUAAUCUUAUUACGUAUCACCUUCCAGCUCGAUAAAGUGUACGAUCGAUCGAUUUAACGAUAAAAACAUGAAUAAGAUGUUUAAUGUACUUCGAAAUCAAAAGAAGACGAGAAAGUUGA